rnacentral:rRNA from 1 species
GAUGAACGCUGGCGGCGUGCCUAAUACAUGCAAGUCGAGCGAACGGACGAGAAGCUUGCUUCUCUGAUGUUAGCGGCGGACGGGUGAGUAACACGUGGAUAACCUACCUAUAAGACUGAGAUAACUUCGGGAAACCGGAGCUAAUACCGGAUAAUAUUUUGAACCGCAUGGUUCAAAAGUGAAAGACGGUCUUGCUGUCACUUAUAGAUGGAUCCGCGCUGCAUUAGCUAGUUGGUAAGGUAACGGCUUACCAAGGCAACGAUGCAUAGCCGACCUGAGAGGGUGAUCGGCCACAAUGAAACUGAGACACGGUCCAGACUCCUACGGGAGGCAGCAGUAGGGAAUCUGCCGCAAGGGGCGAAAGCCUGACGGAGCAACGCCGCGUGAGUGAUGAAGGUCGUCGGAUCGUAAAACUCUGUUAUUAGGGAAGAACAUAUGUGUAAGUAACUGUGCACAUCUUGACGGUACCUAAUCAGAAAGCCCCGGCUAACUACG